GCAGGUGUGGCGGAAUUGGUAUACGCGUGCCGUUCAGAACGGUAUCCCGCAAGGGUUGGAGGUUCGAGUCCUCUCACCUGCACUA
rnacentral:tRNA from 4 species